rnacentral:rRNA from 1 species
AUACGGAGGGUCCAAGCGUUAUCCGGAUUCAUUGGGUUUGAAGGGUCCGCAGGCGGGAAAAUAAGUCAGUGGUGAAAGCCUACAGCUCAACUGUAGAACUGCCAUUGAUACUGUUUUUCUUGAGUAUAGAUGAAGUGGGCGGAAUAUAUCAUGUAGCGGUGAAAUGCAUAGAUAUGAUAUAGUACACCGAUUGCGAAGGCAGCUCACUAAACUAUUACUGACGCUCAGGGACGAAAGCGUGGGGAGCGAACAGGAUUAGAUACCCUAGUAGUCC